AAGCGCUCGGCCUAGGUGAGGUAAGGGAGCCAGCGAGUUGGGCAUUGCCCUUUCUGUCUUCCUUGGUUCCUCAGCCCAAGCUUGUCCCGAAGGCCUCAAUCAACAAAAGGACCCUGGGCAAGAGCCACUCCAGCAUCUUUGGCUACGCCGCUCGUCUCUGGCACAGGAAGGAGCCCCAGUGGAACAUGGAGAUCCCAACCUAGGGAUUCCGGGGUACGGCUGCCGCGUGUCCCCGCCUGCUGACUCACAAAGCCCGGGGUGCCAGGAGGAGCGCCAGGUCGGGGUCCUUUCCCGUAUUCGCCCUGGUUCGGGAGAGGGAGCCGGGGAGAUGGGUCCCAGGCGGGAAGUGUGCUGUUGCUGCGUCCUUUUUCAGUUGGGUCUGAGACUCUGCCACCUCAUUUGGGCUUUUCUUGGUCAAGAUACUGGAGUGGUUUGCUAUGUCCUUCUCCAGCU
rnacentral:lncRNA from 1 species